UAUUUUCAACAGCGUCAUGACUUACUUAAGUUGUAUAAUGAGAUUGAUGUUCCUCCUGAGCGUUUACUGUUUAAAAUUCCUUCAACUUGGCAAGGAAUAGAAGCCUCGAAAUUGCUUGAAUCUGAGGGUAUAGAAAUACAUUUGACUUUUGUUUAUAGCUUUGCUCAAGCUGCAGCUGCAGCCCAAGCUGGUGCUUCUGUUAUCCAGAUUUUUUGUCGGCUGUGUUAGGGUAAACUUUUUUUUCUGAAAACCUUUGUUGACUUUCGUCUGCAAACCUCGAUCUUUUAUCAUCCUUGAAA